UAAAAUUAGAUACUGGCCAGCCAUAAAGUUUCUCCUUUUCAUCUCGCAGCUGUCAAGUUUCUCCUUUUCAUCUCUCAACUGUCAGUAAAUCUGUAGCUUUUCACUUUGCCAUGCAGUUUCCUUUUUCAUACUGCUCUUGGUUGCUUCUUCUCCUUACAUUAGUAUUAUGAUGAAGAAAAGUAAAAAUAAAACAUGAUAAAGGAGUAAAGUUCUGCUCUAAACUCAUAAAAAGAGGCGAUUCCAUUCACACAAGUGUAACAAAGAAUGAAAACAAAUGCUCUAGACACCAUAAGCAGUAAAUUCAUAUGUAGGUUUUGUAGGUGCUUGGAUUUGAUACACAAAUGUUGAAUGAUGCAGAAAAUAUGAUAAUGUAGUCAAUAAUUCUCACACUGUGGCAAACUUGUCAUGUGGUUGCAAAUGGUCCAUGAAAUGGUUGGAUCCGAGCUCAAUAUGGACCUUCUAAAUGAACACUGACGGAUUUUAAAAUCUGCAAAAAUGAAGUACAGAAAUCAUCAGGCAUGGCAAAAUAUUGAGUCAUGCACUGCAGCCUUACUAAAUGAACUCCCUAAAGGCGAUAUAUCUUCAUUAAUAGUAACCAGUAAAGACUGUAAAUGCUUAUGAGCAUCGGAAGUCCUUGAUAGCAAAUGCCUCAUCAACCUUUUCUCCAUGUAAAUAUAGAAAAUUUCAAUAUUGGAAAACAUAAAAGCUUCUCUCCAUGAGAGAAUAGUAAAUCCGUGCGUUACAACAAUUAGAUUAAAGAAACUGAUAAGCAAACUUCUAUAUGUUGAUGUGUGGAUACAUAAAUAUUGCUCAUCACAAGCUAAAGUAGCACAAUUGUUACUGAUUUGAAGAAAGAGAUAAAACUUUACGUUAGCCCUUCUCUACUUCAAAAUCCAUCAUAUUUUUCCCCGUCUCUCCGAGGAGUACACAAGUGAUCUCUCCGUGCCUAUGAGGUUGUGAGUAGUGCUGUAUUUUGUCCCGGGCCUAAACGGGCUUCGCGGGCCUAGGCUCUGGUGGUUCCGGGCUUCGUGGGCUCAAUGGGUGAGACCAUCCCAUGACGGGCCUAAGCCCAUGUGGUCCUAGGCUUAGCGGGUCAGGCUUCGUGGGCAUGUCGGACUUUUUUGUAAUUUUUUUUGUUUAAGGCAAUAUCUUUGUAUAGUAGUUAUUAGUAUAGUAUAUAAUAUACUAGUAUAAAAUAUGUUUAUAUAGUAUACUAGUUAUUAGUAUAGUAUAUAUAAUAUAUAUUUCAUUGUAUAUUGUAUUGUAGUAAUUAGUAUAUAUUGUAUGUUAUGUAUAUAUAUAUUCCCUUAAUUAUUUUCUUAAAGUAUAUAUUGUAUGUUAUGUAUAUAUAUAUUCUCUUAAAUAUUUUCUUGUAGUAUAUAUAUAGUAUCUUAUAUAUAUAUAUAUAUAUUAUAACUUAUAAAGUUAUAUAUUUUGUUGUAGUAUAUAUAUUGUAUCUCUUAUGUAUAAUGUAUAUAUAUUCUCUUAUAUACAUUGUAUCUUAUUUAUAUAUGUUAUUACUUAUAUAUUUUCUUGUAGUUUAGGUUGUAUGUUAUGUAUAUAUAUAUACCCUUAUAUAUUCCCUUAUAUAUUUUCUUGCAUGUUAUGUAUAUAUAUUAUCUUAUAUAUUUUUUUGUAGUAUAUAUAUUGUAUCUUAUGUAUAUAUAUUAUAACUUAUAUAGUUAUAUAUUUUGUUGUAGUAUAUAUAUAUAUUGUNNNNNNNNNNNNNNNNNNNNNNNNNNNNNNNNNNNNNNNNNNNNNNNNNNNNNNNNNNNNNNNNNNNNNNNNNNNNNNNNNNNNNNNNNNNNNNNNNNNNNNNNNNNNNNNNNNNNNNNNNNNNNNNNNNNNNNNNNNNNNNNNNNNNNNNNNNNNNNNNNNNNNNNNNNNNNNNNNNNNNNNNNNNNNNNNNNNNNNNNNNNNNNNNNNNNNNNNNNNNNNNNNNNNNNNNNNNNNNNNNNNNNNNNNNNNNNNNNNNNNNNNNNNNNNNNNNNNNNNNNNNNNNNNNNNNNNNNNNNNNNNNNNNNNNNNNNNNNNNNNNNNNNNNUUCUACAAUUCCAAAGUUUUUUCUUUCCGCGCGGAUCCAAUCUCUAAAAAGUACCGAUUUUUCCAAGUUAUCCCUCAUCGACGCUCUAUGAUAACCUAUUUGCAGUCUUGCUUGUCUGAAAGCGCUCUCCGAUGCAACAAUUGAAGCUUGAAUCGAUAAAAUAUCCCGAGCCAUCCUUGCAAGAACCGGAAAAUAUUUUUCCCUUGACUUCCACCAUUCCAAAAGACCAAAAGAGCCGUCUGGAUUCUCCUUUUCAAGUCCCUGAGACAAAUAAACUUGAAGCUCAAUUAGAUGUGAAGUUUCAUCAUAAUUAUCACCUUGAGAACCCAGGAACUCCGUACAAGAUUUAAGAGUUUUUAAGCCCGCAGCUCUUUUAGACGAUUGUGAGCUAGACGAAGUGGGGGUUAAAAUAUUUGACCCAGCAUGCUCUAAGGCAAGUUGAUAAGCAUUAUAAGUUGAGCAUUAAAUUUAAUUAAUGCUUUUGCAUCUGCAAGUGUAGCAACUUCCUCGUUUGAAAGAUCUAAAGCCUUUACCCCCACAAUUGCAGUCACAGGUACAGUGUUGGCAUAUAUCCAGGCUGUCCAAUUCAUCCCACAACCUUUUCAGUUUAGUAUAGUAUCUUAUUAUGUCCAAAUUUCCUUGUGUUGAUUCACUGAUCUCUUUUUGUUGGUGAUAAAGUUGUGAUCCAUUACUCUGAGCAAACCUUUCUUCAAGCUCAUUCCAGAUUUCCUUGGCGGUACAUAACACUCUCUACUGUUGCUUUGGAAAGAGUGUUUAAUAGCCAAGAAAUGACCAUGUCAUACAACGGGUCCAAGACUUGAAGUCAUCAGAAGAGACUUUGGGCUGAAGAAACGUUCCAUCAAUGAGUCCUACUUUGUUCUUAGCAGACAAAGUUAUGAGCACCCUUCUCCAACCCCAUAUCCUCUUCCAUCAAAAGAAAAGUUAACAAGAAGCAUUUCAGGUGAAUCAGAAGGGUGGAGGUAAAAUUGAUGUGAGAAGUCGAGAAGUGCAGAAGCAGCUUUUGCCGUCUGAGGAAUGCUGGUUACUAUGGCAGAUGCUGAAGGGAGAUCGACUUGCUCUCCCAUGGUUGAUUAGGAUAUAACAAAAAAGAAAGAUUGAAGAAGGAUCGAGCACUAAAGCUCUGAUACUAUGUUAGAAGAAUAAGAGAAUGAAGAUGUAAUUGAGAGAAUUUUCUGUGUAUGUUUGAUAAUGAAAUCUGUACAGAACUUGUCUUUAUAUACAAAUAAAAAAGAAUCUUUCAAUAACUAGUAUAAUCCAACUUAGUGGGGUUUGGGGAGAGUAGUGUGUACGCAGACCUUACCCCUACCCUUGGGGAGGCUGUUUCCAAAUAGAAACCCGGGAUCUUUCCCUUCAAAAUUUUCCCACCUUGCUCUUGGGGAGACUCGAACUCACAACCUCUCGGUUGGAAGUGGGGGUUGCUUACCAUCAGAGCAACCCCUCUUGUCUAAAUAUCUGAAACUUACCUGUGUGACGUGAGUUAAUUAUUCUAUACGCAAUUAUACAUUUUUGCGUUGUCCACUCCUCAUCUAUCCAAUGACUUAUAACAGUUAGAUAAUCACAAUCAUUACCACUUCUACCAAUAUCAGUAGUAAUACAAAUCCGAUUAGGUAUAUGAGUAAAUAAAUAGCGUAAAUAUUGUUCAUAUUCAUGAUUAAAUUCAUAAAUAUCGGCCUUAACUUUUGCACGAAGCCAACCUUUAUAAGUAGGAUUAAAAACUCUUCUAGUAUAAUGAACCCAAUUAGGAUUAGAAGCAAAAGUAUAAGGUAAGCACAUAACAGUCAUCAUCUUUACUAAUUCUUCACGAUCUCUAUUUGGAUUGUAAUGUAAAAUACCUCCGGUGACAGUGUUAAUUCCUGGUUGAACUAGAUUUGAACUUAUCCUAGGGUUAACCGCAGAAUCUACACUUGUCCCAUCUUGCUGCGGUUGCAUUUGAAAAAAUCUAGCCCUAUCUGUAGGGUGUAUUUUUAUGUGCCUAACCAAACUACCUGUGCCGUUACGGUCUCCAGUAUAUUUAUGAACCAGUAACAUUAUCUCUAGGGUGUAUUUUUAUGUGCCUAGUCAAACUACCCGUGUCGCUACGAUCUUCAGUAAAUUUAUGAACCAGUAAUUUCCCACAAGUUUUACACUUAGCAUUAUUUAGUUCUCUUACUUUAGUAAAAAAAUUCCAAACUAAUGAUGUUUCUGGAUGUUUAGCAGGUUGUCUACUAAAAGUUGGAGUUUCUACAGGUGGGUGAGCCGGUGCAUUACUUGAGUUAUGAACAUGACUAGUAGGUGUAUCAUCUAAAUCUGGUGCUUAGGUUACACCAUCAUCGUCAUCAUCCUCAUUUUCCUCUAAGAUAGGUUUAUUAGGAUAAAGAGCAUUAAUAAUUUCAUCCAUCAUCAUCAUCAUCGUCAUCAUCGUCAUUUUCCUCCAAGAUAGGUUCAUUAGGAUAAAGAGCAUUCAUAAUCUCAUCAUCUAAUUUAUCACCUACUGCAACAUCAUGUAGAAAUUCACUAUCGGUAAAUUGAAAACAAGGGUGAUCACUAUCAAGCAUUACGGGAGGACGUCUAGGUUGGCGACUACUUUCAACUUGCUUAUCUUUUCUAGGUCGGGGAGCCUGAGGAAGGGUAGUAUUAUGGCCACUACUUUCACCGAUUUUACCUUUUCCUUUACCAAACAUAUUUUUCAAAGAAAAUGCCAUAUUAAUUAUAAUUAUGCAAACUAAACCACACAAAAAUAUAUUACCUUUUCCUUUACCAAACAUUUUUUUCAAAGAAAAUACCAUAUUAAUUAUAAUUAUGCAAACUAAACUACAUCAAAAUAUAUUAUUAAAACGUAAGAGUUGAAACGAGUUUACCGGAUUGCCGAAAAACUUCUUAAAGAUUUUAAAUCGUUGAACACUUGAAAACUUCAAUUCAACAACUUCACAAUUUUUCACGAAUUUUCAACAAUAAAUUAAGCAAUUGUAGUAGAAAGAUUGAGAGGUAUUGAUGAAAUGGUGAAUAAAAAUGAAAGAAUGAGGAGGUAUUUAUAGUUGAGAAAUGGGUAAAAGUGUAAUUAUAUAAAUCUCGGGGUUAAAUUAAAGUUUGUAGGCCAAAUGACCAUUUUUUAAACCUCCAAACUGUCAAAUAGUAGCCCAAAUGGCUACUUUUUAAAAAUGCCCGUUGCUGAUUUUAAAACAAAAAAAUAUAUAGCCGUUGGGCCUGUUUAGGCCCGCCAGACCCGGCCCAGGCCCGACUGACGGUCCCGAGAUCACUGGCUAAUGAAUGCGGCCCGGCCCGUCACGGGCCUAAAAGUAACACCAGGCCCAGGACCACCAGGCCCGGUCCGAUCCGGUUUAGGCCCGGGCCACAGUGCAGCACUAGUUGUGAGCAUUAAAAAGGAGUUGGAUUCAAAUAAAUAUAUACUCAGGCAGUGAAGACUUUUGAACUUCCUAUUAUCUUCAUGUAGUAUAAGGAGAGCUUUGCCAAUAGAACUAAUAAAGUAGAAGUUUUCACCUCUAUUGUUCCCUCCAUCUGAGAGGUACGCCCAACUCUAUUUAUUUUAUUUCAUUCAUGCCUAACAACAUCUCAUCCAAAAUUCUACUCUCAUUUGAGGAAAAAGCAAGUGAAAAUUGUCCAAAGAUAAUAUUCUAGAGCUUUAAAGUAAACAAAGAGGAGCACAACUAUGACCUCUUUUAUUUUUUUGCAAAGAACUUUAUAUGUACAUAAACUGCUGCGGCACUUCAUGGCGUUUAAUAGAAACAGAUUAUUUUCCCUUAAUGCACCUGUGUGAACAGGUAUGCUAUGGGUAAGGCUACUUCCUAUGGAUCCUUCAACAUGCUAAAAUAAUUUGCUUAAAACUCAACUGACAUUCUAAUCCAUGUGGUCGUUUCUAUUAAAGGUCCUUUUUAUCUUCAUCGGUAUUCCAGUUUAACUGCAUCUGACAGGGUUUUAGCCCCUACAUAAAACUCUAAAAUCUCCAUAAAAGUUUGCAUACCUUGUCAACAUUUUGAACAGAAACAGAGAACCCAAUUCACAUUGUUUGAUAUCUACCUUGUCAAAAACAUUACAAAACAUCAAAUUCUCAAAAUUUCAUAUCAACAACUGCCUACCCCCAAGUAAAAAAGUCUCAAUAACCUUUGUACUUUUUUCUAAAGUUUACCGGGAAAUAUCUUACUCUCGAGUCAACUCAUAAUCUCAUCACAAAGGAUCAAAGUUGCAUGUAAUCAACUCCACAAAUAUCACGACCAAUAAAGAGUCAACUAUAGCUAAAGGAGCACAGAAAAUUUUUUAAAGAGCUUACAAAGCCAUCCAUCAACUUUUGGACAUGGUUGAUUUUGAUCUCACUUUAUGUAGUUUGAUUGUUAUUUCUGGCUUCAGAAAUAGUAAAUUAAACACCGGCCGGUUCAAAAAUCGGCCACCUAAACAAAUUGCACAUACAAUGAGAUAGCAAAUCGAACGCUUAAGAGAAAGAAAGAUCAUAUGGUGUCAGAGAAACUAAAAGUGCGGACCUAAUUAAGAACUACAUGCACACUUCUCAGCGGAAAAUCAACCUGCUUUAAUUAUUCUCAGUUUUUUUGCUAAAAGUACCAAUUUUUCUUCUUUUCAUGCAAUAUGUAUUUUGCAAUCUGUAUUCAACUCAACAACAAGAAAAGCAAUAUCUACCAAAAGGAUUAGUAAGUCAAAUGUAAUUCAUAGAAUUUUCCUCAAAGACAACUUGAAAAUAAGUCAUUACCACAUCUUAUCACACUCUGUUAUGCGAAAUUAGAAUAUCACCAUCAAUAUCUCGGUCUGGGUCCGAGAUAAUCCUUUGUGGCUAGAACCUUUUGGACCAUUUUCCUGAAAGCUUUAUUUACUCUUCUUUGAAAUUUAAGAACUCAAAAAGAUCUAAGCUCACAAAUUGAACUUUAGCUUUUCCCUUCAAGAAAAGCAAUAAAGGGAGGGAGGAGCUAGUUCUUUAUUUAUUUUAGAUAUAAUGUGUAUAAAACUGGAACUAUGAAUACAAGUUUAGCAACAAUAUUAUAUCUUACUGCACGGCUUCUAUAUUUAAGAUUAUAAACUUACUGUUGGCACCCUUGCAAAAUUACAAUUGCAAUAAAUUGUCCCAGAGCACUCUUAACGUAUAUCCAUUAUAUAAGUUUUCCCAAGAAAGAAACUAACAAAGUCAAAGACAUAUUAUAUCUUUCUAUUUUGUUCUUUCUAGCUGCAAAUAGAUCACCCUAGAAUUUAUCAACUAAUAUGGUACCCAAACCCCUAAAGAAGAACAACAACAAUACCCAAAAAAAAGGAAGAACAAUGACAUAAUUAUUAUUGCAAUGAAUGCACAUUAAAAACUUUCCAAAAAAUUGAUAAUUACCUCAAAAGAAAUCAACUUCAAAAAGGAAAAGCGUAAAUCAAAAGACUGUCCAUGUUUUAUUUUUUCUUUUGUUUAAUUUCUGGAUGAUAUAAGUUAUUAAAGAUUCAAGCAAAAAUUAUAGAAUAACAAACUUGAGAAGAAAUAUAACUAAAAGAAAUGUUUUUCAAAAAUUAAACAAUCGUUACUUAAACAGAGGGGAUAAAGAUGGACAGGGAUAACUAUACUAGUAUCCAAAAUUCUUCAUUGAACUACUUUAUCAGCGUUCUGAUUUUUUAAUUCUUCAUGGGUAUUUUCCAUCCCUAGAAUUCAAGACCAAGUAAAAUUUCACCAAAACAAUGAGACAAACAACUUGCAUCAACAUUUUGCAGAGCGAAUUAUAAAGAUGCAGCGAGUGAGAAACGCGGAGAAAUAGAGAAAACCAUACCUGAAGAAUAAUGGAGGAGAAUGGGGAAUAGAAGUGACUUGGAAGCCAGAUGUUCUAAUCAUAGGAGUAGAAAU
rnacentral:lncRNA from 1 species